rnacentral:rRNA from 1 species
UACGGAGGUGGCAAGCGUUGCUCGGAAUCACUGGGCGUAAAGGGUGCGUAGGCGGCGCGGUAAGUCGGGUGUGAAAUCUUGGAGCUUAACUCCGAAACUGCAUUCGAUACUGCCGUGACUUGAGGACUGGAGAGGAGACUGGAAUUUACGGUGUAGCGGUGAAAUGCGUAGAUAUCGUAAGGAAGACCAGUGGCGAAGGCGGGUCUCUGGACAGUUCCUGACGCUGAGGCACGAAGGCCAGGGGAGCAAACGGG